rnacentral:lncRNA from 1 species
CUCUGUGGUGGGCUCUUCCAUGCACUGCGGAUGGUUAGCAGCCUCCUUGGUCUCCAUCCCUUAGAUACCAGUUGAAGCCACUGUUGUGAAAACCAAAAACACCUCCAGAUACUGCCUUAUAGGGACAACAUCUCUCCCACUUAAGAAUCACUAAGGAGUAGGGUACCAAGGCACACAUCCGUACUCCCAGCUACUCUGGAGGCUGAGGCAGGAGGAUUACAAGUUCAAGGCCAGCCUCAGCAACAUAGUGAGAGCCUGUCUCAAAAUAAAAAAUAAAAAGGGCUAAGGAUGUAAGUCAGUGGUAGAGCACAGCUGAGUUCAAUCCCCAGUACAAGAAAAAAAAAAAAGAGAGAGGGAAGGGAAGGUUUUGAUCCUCCUGCUGGGUCCUUCUCAUGGAUAACUGUGGACACUUAGGAAUUCACAAACCUGGAGGAAUCCUUGCAGACCACUAUCCUCCUGAACCAUCCCCGCGUGCCUACACCAUCUCCGGAAGUUUAAACACAUCUUUGUUACAACUGACUGGCUAAAGCCAUCUGGUUUUUAUGACCCCCAGCCUGACUUCUGAGCCCAGCCCCAGAAUGCAGUACUUUGAGCCGCCGAGUGUAACUAAAAUCCCAACCAUCUAUGCGACAAUGCCGUUGCCAGAAGACAUUCACUGUCUCUUACAGCUUGAAAGUAUCCCCCUAACAGGGCUUAAUGGAGUGUACCCACCAAGUGGCAGGCAUGGUCAUUGUCCCCUGUGGAAAUAGGACCCUGUGGGGUGGAUCACUCACUGGUGCUCUCCUGUGGUUCCUGGAGGGGAAGGAUGUAAUCUUCCUGCUGGAACUUAAGAUUUCUAAGGGGGAAGACAUUUUACAAUUUCAACAGCC